ACUCGUUUGAGCGAGUAUAAACAGUUGGUUAGGCUCAAAGCGGAGAGCAG
rnacentral:ribozyme from 1 species